rnacentral:rRNA from 1 species
UGGGGAAUUUUGGACAAUGGGCGAAAGCCUGAUCCAGCAAUGCCGCGUGUGUGAAGAAGGCCUUCGGGUUGUAAAGCACUUUUGUCCGGAAAGAAAUGGCUCUGGUUAAUACCUGGGGUCGAUGACGGUACCGGAAGAAUAAGGACCGGCUAACUACGUGCCAGCAGCCGCGGUAAUACGUAGGGUCCAAGCGUUAAUCGGAAUUACUGGCCGUAAAGCGUGCGCAGGCGGUUGUGCAAGACCGAUGUGAAAUCCCCGAGCUUAACUUGGGAAUUGCAUUGGUGACUGCACGGCUAGAGUGUGUCAGAGGGGGGUAGAAUUCCGCGUGUAGCAGUGAAAUGCGUAGAGAUGUGGAGGAAUGCCGAUGGCGAAGGCAGCCCCCUGGGAUAACACUGACGCUCAUGCACGCGAGCGUGGGGAGCAAACAGG